rnacentral:ncRNA from 2 species
AUAUUUCUUCGGGGCAGGGUGAAAUUCCCGACCGGCGGUUAUAGUCCGCGAACCUUAGGGUUGAUUUGGUGUAAUUCCAAAACCGACAGUACAGUCUGGAUGUGAGAAGAAGCAG